rnacentral:rRNA from 1 species
UACGAAGGGGGCUAGCGUUGUUCGGAUUUACUGGGCGUAAAGCGCACGUAGGCGGAUUGUUAAGUCAGGGGUGAAGUCCCGGAGCUCAACUCCGGAACUGCCUUUGAUACUGGCAAUCUUGAGGCUGGAAGAGGUUAGUGGAAUUCCCAGUGUAGAGGUGAAAUUCGUAGAUAUUGGGAAGAACACCAGUGGCGAAGGCGGCUAACUGGUCCAGAUCUGACGCUGAGGUGCGAAAGCGUGGGGAGCAAACAGG